rnacentral:rRNA from 1 species
UGGGGAAUAUUGCGCAAUGGGGGGAACCUUGACGCAGCCAUGCCGCGUGAAUGAAGAAGGCCUUCGGGUUGUAAAGUUCUUUCGGUAUUGAGGAAGGUUGAUGUGUUAAUAGCACAUCAAAUUGACGUUAAAUACAGAAGAAGCACCGGCUAACUCCGUGCCAGCAGCCGCGGUAAUACGGAGGGUGCGAGCGUUAAUCGGAAUAACUGGGCGUAAAGGGCACGCAGGCGGUUAUUUAAGUGAGGUGUGAAAGCCCCGGGCUUAACCUGGGAAUUGCAUUUCAGACUGGGUAACUAGAGUACUUUAGGGAGGGGUAGAAUUCCACGUGUAGCGGUGAAAUGCGUAGAGAUGUGGAGGAAUACCGAAGGCGAAGGCAGCCCCUUGGGAAUGUACUGACGCUCAUGUGCGAAAGCGUGGGGAGCAAACAGGAUUAGACACCCUGGUAGUCCACGCUGUAAACGCUGUCGAUUUGGGGGUUGGGGUUUAACUCUGGCGCCCGUAGCUAACGUGAUAAAUCGACCGCCUGGGGAGUACGGCCGCAAGGUUA